rnacentral:miRNA from 1 species
GCAGACACAUUCCAGCCAAUUAGCAGCAGACCCUCCCUCCCAGACCCUCCCACCUCCUGGACAGCUGACUAAGAAUGCAGCUUCACAAUGAAUGUAAAAUGGAUGCUGUCCAGGAGGUGGGAGGGUCUGGGAGGGAGGGUCUGCUGCUGAUUGGCUGGAAUGUGUCUG